GUUUUUUUCUUUAAAAUUUUGUCCUUUAUUUGAACAACUUUACACAUAACAACAAAAAAAAAAACAUGGCUUUUAUCAAUGCUGAUAGCCCUAAAAGGUCCAAGUUUUCCCCUAAGAGAAACAAACACGCUUUCUCUCUCAAAAGAGAAGAAUUGGCCCUCAUAUGUUUUGGCGGGCUACCAAAGAAAAAAAUAAACAGUUCGCACAAAGGGGAGUCAAAAAAAGGGGAACGAAACGAAACGAAACGAAACGAACCACCUUUUUUGAUUCAGUAAUGAUCCAACCGCAGGUUCACCUACGGUUA
rnacentral:misc_RNA from 1 species